GCUCCUUGGCUGUAAUAGGAUGCCGUGCGCCGGCACAGCGCCGAGUACUCCGGACACACGCAGACAUAGAGUACUUAGGUCUUGGCACGACGACCAGUGCGAGUUCUAACGAGUAAAGUGAAGGUCAGUGGACAAUGAAGAGGUUUGAAUUCAGUGAGAUGGAGAUUUGAUCAGAGAUGUUCAUAGCUUAUGACUUUUCAGAGGGACUACUGCAGCAAGAAAGCAUGAAUGGAGGAUAUUUCAUGUUACAGAUUGCCAAGAAAUGGAUCUAACCAGGAUAGAAAAAGGAGGGGAAUGCUCAGAUGGACAAGUGCUCAAGGACACAUCAGAGUCUGUAAUUUGAGAAACAAAUGCCUUGCAGGGCAUACGUUGACUUCUUCUUAAAUACACAUCAAAUAUCAGAUAGACUCACUGAGUUGAGGCACCAUUUUGCCAGCUUCAAUCAGAUUGUGUUUGAUUUGUGUUAAAUAUUUAAAAUAAUUUUUUUUUACACCCAGUACUUUCGGGUGCAUUAAUUAUGAUCACCAGACACUCACAAACAUAGGAUCAUGGGUAACUCACCAGCUCUCUGACUCUAUAUUUGCUGACUCAGCUGGGCCAAGUGAGAUCCUUUGGGGAACGCGCCGGAGUGUGAAACAGGUUGAAUACUUGAGCACACCAUCCACCAAUGCCCAGUCACUGGAGAAUAAGGUGGAUAGCAAGAAAAACAUUCCAGCGAGUCAUUCUGGAUUACAACAUCCUUUGUUUCACAGAGACACAGCUGAGUCCAACAAUACCAGAUCAUGUAAGCUGACCUGCUGACUCACUCUGUCCGUUUACCAUAUGGGCAGAACACAGGAGCCCAGCAAAUCAAAAGGUGGAGGUAUGUGUCACUUGGUAAACAAUAACUGGUGCGACAGCAGGAACAUAGUAGUCUUAUCACCCUACUGCUCACCUGAUGAUUAAAUGCAUCUUAGUAGCUUAUUUUUCCAUUGUCACAACCAUGUAUUUUCCACCUAAAGCAGAAAUGGACUCUGCGCCAGUGGAACUGUAUGAGACACUCAGUCACCACUAGAAUAAUAACCUAGAUGCUGCUUCCAUCAUGGCUGGUGAUUUCAACAAGGCUAGUCUCAAAAAAGUAAUGAUGAACUUUAAUCAGCAUGUUACAUGUUCUACCAGAGGGAAUAAGAAAGUGACCAUUGCUAUACUACAUAUAAAAUGGCUAUAAGUCAAAGAUGCUGCAUCUGUUUGGUAAAUCUGACAAUGCCCAGAUACAAAUAAGAGUUAAAGCAGGAAGCUUUUAACAUCCAGCUUCAAAAAUAUUCUGACAGAAAGUAUAACAGCCUGAUUUGGAAACAGCACAGGACCACAAGGCUAUGCAGUGAGUAAACACUACCACUGACUAAAAUCCAGUUUCUGAGGGACUGAGGAGGAACUUUUUCCACAGUAAAUCUGCAUAUCGAAUAAUGAAAGUGUCUAGAACUACAUGAU